rnacentral:rRNA from 1 species
CCUACGGGCGGCUGCAGUGAGGAAUAUUGGUCAAUGGACGAGAGUCUGAACCAGCCAAGUAGCGUGAAGGAUGACUGCCCUAUGGGUUGUAAACUUCUUUUAUAUGGGAAUAAAAUGUUCCACGUGUGGGAUUUUGUAUGUACCAUAUGAAUAAGGAUCGGCUAACUCCGUGCCAGCAGCCGCGGUAAUACGGAGGAUCCGAGCGUUAUCCGGAUUUAUUGGGUUUAAAGGGCGCGUAGGUGGAUUGGUAAGUCAGUUGUGAAAGGGUGCGGCUCAACCGUAAAAUUGCAGUUGAAACUGGCAGUCUUGAGUACAGUAGAGGUGGGCGGAAUUCGUGGUGUAGCGGUGAAAUGCUUAGAUAUCGCGAAGAACUCCGAUUGCGAAGGCAGCUCACUGGACUGCAACUGACACUGAGGCUCGAAAGUGUGGGUAUCAAACAGGAUUAGAUACCCUUGUAGUC